AAUAUUGCGCAAUGGGGGGAACCCUGACGCAGCAACGCCGCGUGAGUGACGAAGGUUUUCGGAUCGUCCAGCUCUGUCAUUGGGGACGAAAAGAUGACGGUACCCAUGGAGGAAGCCCCGGCUAACUACGUGCCAGCAGCCGCGGUAAUACGUAGGGGGCAAGCGUUGUCCGGAAUUAUUGGGCGUAAAGGGUGCGUAGGCGGCCCUUUAAGUCAGAUGUGAAAGCCCACGGCUUAACCGUGGGACUGCAUUUGAAACUGGAGGGCUUGAGUGUCGGAGAGGGCAGUGGAAUUCCCAGUGUAGCGGUGGAAUGCGUAGAUAUUGGGAGGAACACCAGUGGCGAAGGCGACUGCCUGAACGAUAACUGACGCUGAGGCACGAAAGCUAGGGGAGCAAACA
rnacentral:rRNA from 1 species